GAGCUGGAGCCCGGUGUCCCGGCGACCGGAUCCCGCUUACCCCGCAGCGGCCUGAGACCUGACAUCGACUUCCUCUUAUUCACCGGGGCUGAGGGUGGACGCGGUGGGGGAACACGUCUGGAAUCUUGAGGACAGAGGAAGAAGCCUCCCAAUCCGGAUUAUUGGAGGGGAAAGAGGAACCAAGCUUGGGGAGGGGGAGAGCGGGGCGUUGGGCGCCCCCGCAGCGGCCGCUGUCCUAAGCUGACGGGCAUCGGCCGGCUCUCCCCCUCCUGCCAGCCGGACACGAGCAACCAAGGCCAGGGACUCUGUGCCACUGCAUCCUCGCAUCUUGGCUCUGGGGCUGGCCCAGGGAGGGACACCCCCAACCCCCAUUUCAUUUGCCCUGGGUAGGAAAGACCACUUUAUACACUCCAGAGUGACGGGUCUAGGGCCCAGGGCCCAGGUUACCCGUGCCCACCCCCACCCCCACCCCCACGCCCGACUCUGCUGAGAAGGAAAGGCCUGACAACCUCAACUUCUUUUUUCCAGAGUUUCCAGGUCUCACCACCUAUUGCAGGUCCCACCCCUCCGUAUUUAUUUCCCUGGCUUCUGGCCAGCCCUCUAUCUCUGUCUCCGGGUUUCAGGCCUCCCUCCUUGACAUGGAGAGUAACCUGUCUGGUCUGGUGCCUGCAGCUGGGCUGGUACCUGCACUGCCGCCUACAGUGACCCUGGGGCUGACCGCUGCCUACACUGCCCUAUAUGCUCUGCUCUUCUUCUCUGUCUAUGCCCAGCUCUGGCUGGUGCUUCUGUAUGGGCACAAGCGCCUCAGCUAUCAGACAGUAUUCCUGGCGCUCUGUCUGCUCUGGGCAGCCUUGCGUACCACACUUUUCUCCUUCUACUUCCGAGAUACUCCCAGGGCCAACCGCCUGGGGCCCUUGCCUUUUUGGCUUCUCUAUUGCUGCCCUGUCUGCCUGCAGUUCUUCACACUGACGCUUAUGAACCUCUACUUUGUGCAGGUAACCACGGGAACCGGUGUGGUGGGAGUAGGAGGGCAAUCUCAAUGGUCCAAAGGAGUGAUGGGGUAUCUCUGCUCCCAGGUGGUGUUCAAGGCCAAGGCGAAGCGUCGGCCAGAGAUGAGCCGAGGCUUGCUGGCUGUCCGAGGGGCCUUCGUGGGUGCUUCACUGCUCUUUUUGCUGGUGAAUGUACUGUGUGCAGUGCUGUCUCGCCAGCGCCAGGCACAGCCCUGGGUCCUUCUGCUGGUACGUGUCCUGGUGAGCGACUCUCUCUUCGUCAUCUGUGCCCUCUCGCUUGCUGCCUGCCUCUGCCUUGUGGCCCGUCGAGCCCCUUCCACCAGCAUCUACUUAGAGGCCAAGGGGACCAGCGUGUGUCAGGCAGCUGCUAUAGGGGGUGCCAUGGUCCUUCUCUAUGCCAGCCGGGCCUGUUACAACCUGGCAGCUCUGGCCUUGGCCCCUCGGAGCCGGCUAGAUGCCUUCGAUUACGACUGGUACAACGUAUCUGACCAGAUCUGGUGAAUGACCUAGGGAACAAAGGCUACCUGGUGUUUGGUCUCAUCCUCUUCGUUUGGGAACUGCUGCCCACCACAUUGCUGGUGGGCUUCUUCCGGGUACACCGGCCCCCACAGGAUCUGAGCACCAGUCGAAUCCUCAAUGGGCAGGUUUUUGGCUCCCGAUCCUACUUCUUUGACCGGGCUGGCCACUGUGAGGAUGAGGGCUGCUCCUGGGAGCAUAGCCGGAGUGAGAGCACCAGCAUGUCCGGCAGCCUGGGCUCUGGCAGUUGGUAUGGUGCCAUCGGACGUGAGCCAGGCUGGGGAGGGGCCAGCCAGACGAGGACCACUCCUCUGCUCUUCUCCCAGGUGCCAGGACCUGGUAGUCACCACCACAGCCUCUAUUCUACACCACAGACGUGAUCUGCUUUUACUCCCCUUAGAAUACCCAGGCCCCAGCUCCCCUGAUCCCUGGCCCCUGUGCCAAGUACGUCUGCUGCUUCUUGCCCAGGUUGCCAGGAGACUGUGGCUGCUUCUCUCCUCUGGCCGGCUCCUUGCCGCUCCUAUUGUAGUGAGCUUGUGCCAUCCCCCUAAAAUGGAAACAAGGCCCCAGGAUACCAGAUGCCCACAGUGCCCUGGCAUGACCUGCCACCUCUGCUUCCACACUGGAGCCGGCUACCUCUCCUGUGCCUACCACUCAAUAAACAGAGGCUGUGCCCUGUC